rnacentral:lncRNA from 1 species
ACAGUGAGAGUGGCAGAACAUUGGAACAGGCUGCCCAGGAUUUGCAGAGUCUCCUUCUUAAAAUAUUCAAAACCCACCAGCACUCUUUCCUCUGCAGCCUACUCUAUGGAACCAGUUUCAAGAGGAUGUUUGGACUAGAUGAUCUCAAGAGGUCCUUUCCAACCACCUGCAAUCUGUGAUUCUGUGAUUUCUCAUAUGGAUUGAUGAUGUCACAGUGACCAUUGUCACUAAGGGAUGAAACAUGAAGAUACAAUUCCAUGAAGACACCCGUUCUGUGCUCAGGAGUAAAUAAAAUGCCAGUUAGAAGUUGGGAGUUAGUAAGAAAGUAACAGUGAACAAAACAGUGAACAACAUCAUGUCCACAUAUACAUGAUUAGCCAUCUCAAAAACAAAAAACAAAAAACAGAGCUAGAAAGCAUUCAAAGAAAAGCUACAGAAAUAAUCAGAAGUGUGGAAUGACUUCUGUAGGAGGAUUAACUCAGUAAACUGGAACUUUUCUGCCAAGGAAAGAAAAGAUGUACAUGAGAUGUCUACAGAAGCCUUAAUGAAGUGGUGAUUAUGCAUUAUGAUACACAUCACUUCCAACUCAAGAUCUAGGGACUAUAGAAUGAAAGUAGCAGGAACCAAGCUCAAAAACAACAAAGAACAGUGUGUUUUCAUACACGGAAUAAAACCAUGGAAUACUCUGCCUGAGGAGAUUUCAUUUCUGCUGAUUCCUGUCAGACAGAAGAGUCUGAAAGAAUAGCUUUAAAAUCAGCCCUCUGAAUGCAGUUCCACCCAGGUCUGGAGCUUCAGGAAGGUUUGUCUGAUGGAGCUGUUGGUAGAUGGCUGUGGGAGGGAUCCUGACUGCCACAAAGGACACCAAAACUUCUUGCUGUGUCUGGAUGUGCUCCAGCACCUGCAGCCUUGUUCUCUCUGCAAGCAAUGCCAGUACCAUCCCACAGUGUUUCCACAUUUUCCCCCAAGCUCCAUGCUGGAGGAUAUACAGCCUUUCUUUUAUCAGAAUUAAGGAUGCUCUCCAAAGAAGACCCUAAGAGUUUGACAGUAUGAGGACAACUGACGCUGGAAGAAUAUGGACUCAGUAUGUUAGCCCAGGAGGAGAUGAAUAAGUAUCACACAGAUGGUGUGUGCUUAGAGGAGAGGACAGGACAGAGACACUCUACUCAUAGCUGGCCCAAAAUGUAAUCAUCUGUGCACCUGGCUUCAGACAAAGCCAGAGAAGAGAUGUGGUUUUAGUUAGCAAUGUAAGCUGCAUCACAAAGGCAGAAUGUCUAUUAGUUAAUGGCUAGUAUCAGUUUUCAGUCCUUUUAAGACCAUAAAUAUUUUAAAUAUCAAGGCAUUUU